rnacentral:sRNA from 1 species
GGUGCUGAUCGUUAGCUGAGGCUCCUUCGCGGAUACAAGCCAGCGACCCCGAACGUCGAAAGACGCCCCGGGUCAGGACAGGCCCUCCCGGCUUAAGGGGUGGCCCCGAUUGGCUCCCGUUGACGGGUUCACGCCGCGAAGUGCCAAAGGUCUUACGAGGAGAGGUGCA